rnacentral:rRNA from 1 species
AUUGAACGCUGGCGGCAGGCCUAACACAUGCAAGUCGAGCGGCAGCACGGGUACUUGUACCUGGUGGCGAGCGGCGGACGGGUGAGUAAUGCCUAGGAAUCUGCCUGGUAGUGGGGGAUAACGCUCGGAAACGGACGCUAAUACCGCAUACGUCCUACGGGAGAAAGCAGGGGACCUUCGGGCCUUGCGCUAUCAGAUGAGCCUAGGUCGGAUUAGCUAGUUGGUGAGGUAAUGGCUCACCAAGGCGACGAUCCGUAACUGGUCUGAGAGGAUGAUCAGUCACACUGGAACUGAGACACGGUCCAGACUCCUACGGGAGGCAGCAGUGGGGAAUAUUGGACAAUGGGCGAAAGCCUGAUCCAGCCAUGCCGCGUGUGUGAAGAAGGUCUUCGGAUUGUAAAGCACUUUAAGUUGGGAGGAAGGGCAGUUACCUAAUACGUGAUUGUUUUGACGUUACCGACAGAAUAAGCACCGGCUAACUCUGUGC